GUUAAGCUGAGGUCGUCUGAGCCCUGCGACAGCCUGGACAGCAACUCAGGAUGGCAUCAGGCAGGGCACGCUGCACCCGAAAACUCCGGAACUGGGUGGUGGAGCAAGUGGAGAGUGGGCAGUUUCCCGGAGUGUGCUGGGAUGAUACAGCUAAGACCAUGUUCCGGAUUCCCUGGAAACAUGCAGGCAAGCAGGACUUCCGGGAGGACCAGGAUGCUGCCUUCUUCAAGGCCUGGGCAAUAUUUAAGGGAAAGUAUAAGGAGGGGGACACAGGAGGUCCGGCUGUCUGGAAGACUCGCCUGCGCUGUGCACUCAACAAGAGUUCUGAAUUUAAGGAGGUUCCUGAGAGGGGCCGCAUGGAUGUUGCUGAGCCCUACAAGGUGUAUCAGUUGCUGCCACCAGGAACUGUCUCUGGCCAGCCAGGGACUCAGAAAUCACCAUCAAAGCGACAUCACAGUUCUGUGUCCUCUGAGAGGGAGGAGGAAGAGGAUGCCAUGCAGAACUGCACACUCAGUCCCUCUGUGCUCCAGGACUCCCUCAAUAAUGUAAGAGAUGGAGAGGGAACUGGGUGGGCCUAAGGGCAGGACAGUAACCAGAGGGAGAGGUGGGCCAAUGAAAGACAC
rnacentral:sRNA from 1 species